GCCCGUUUGGCUUAGUGGUACAGCGUCUCACUCGUAUCCCUUAUACGCUAUGAGAAGAUCCUCGGUUCGAUUCCGAGAAUGGGCA